GCGCGAGCGUGGGGGUGCCCCGAUGGGGGGCUGAGAAGAUACCCCUUGAACCUGAUCCGGGUCAUGCCGGCGAAGGAAACCGCCCCUUCACCUGCC
rnacentral:ncRNA from 2 species